GAGAGAGAGAGAGAGAGAGAGAGAGAGAGAGAGAGACCAUUUACCAUAUAUCACUUAAGAAAAAUCAGUGCAAUCAAAUUAGGAGAGUGAGAAAGAUUACUUAAGAAGGCUCACUUAAAAAAUCAAGGCAAUUAUCUUUGGAGAGAGAUACAAAGACCACUUAUGAAAGAUCACUAAAGAAAGUCAGGGCAAUAAGCUAAGGAAAAAGGCUUACUAAAAUGUGUGUGCGAGAUAGAGAUCACUUAAAAAAUCAUGGAAAUAGCUUGAGAGAGAGAGAGACCUCUUAUGAAGGAUCAUUUAAGAAAAUCAAUUCAAUUAGUUAAUAUGUGUAUGUGUGUGUGCGUGAGAGAGAGAGAGAGAGGGAGAGAGAGAGAGAGGGAGAUAGAUGCCACUUAUUAAAGACCACUUAAGAAAAUUAGGGGAAUUAGCUUUAGAGAGAGAGAAAUACCAUUUAAGAAAGAUCAUAUAAGGCAAUAAGAACAAUUAGCUUGGGAAAAUAGAGGGUACACAACACCAAUGAGGGAAGAAGAGAUAGGAAAAAAUUUACCAGAAGUGAUAAAAGGAUAUGGGAAAGCUAACAUGAAUUGACUUUAUAAAAUCAACAAAUAACACCAUAAAAACAAUUUGGAUAUAAAUUUAAUUAAUACUUUUAAUAUCAACAAAACUACAAUUUUUUUUUUUUAUUAAUACUAAUAUACUUUUUUAAAGUAAAAGGAGGAAAUAUUGAAUCUCUUUAAGAAAGCAUUAUAAGAGGCAAUAAUCUAAGGCAUAUUAUAGUAGUUGGUAACCUUAAGGAAUUUUUCUAGAUUUCACAGAAGGCAUUGAAUAAGAAGAAAAUUUUUAGGAUUGUUAGAUGCUAUAUUUAUUAUAUAGAAUAUGUUGUAUGAAUUUCAGUUAUUGAGUAAAUAAAUUGUGAAACUUUGUCACAUAUAAAAAUUUAAAAUUCGCUUAGACUAAUCUUUAGUUUUAUUCUAAGUGUUUUAAAUAAUUGCUAUAAUUUUCUUAAGCGUUUGAAUAUGGGAUUGGUUUCUAACUUUGAUUUGAAAAAAGAUACUUAAUAAUGGUGUUUUAGAGUUCAUUCUCUGUCUUAUAUUUUAGAUAGGAGUUCAUGAUAGAUUUCAGGUUUAAUUGUAUUUAAGAGUAUUGUUAUGUAUGAGAUCAUUUCUGUUUUAUGAGAUUUGGUUUAAUGGUUUUGGGUUUAAUCUACAGUUGUACCGAUUUGACACUGGUUACGAACAAAACAAAGGUUAUUGUCAUGUCAUUACAGUUGGAUUUUGAUUAGAAAAGUUACAUUUAACUGCUCAACAUAAUUAAAGCAGUCACCAAGAAAAUGCCAGAAGUUAAGAAGCAAGAGCAUCAGAACAGUACUUCUGUUUUGAUUGGAAAUUAUAAUAAACAUAAUGAAUAAUAAAAUCUCACAUCUUAAACAGUAGCUGAUAUUGUUAACCUAUGCUUUAGUUUUGUGUUGUGACAGAAUAUGUAUCCACAUGAUGAAAAUGGAAAUGGUAAUUGAUCAGCAGAAGCUUUGUCUCCGCCUCCAACAGAAAUUCUUCCAGAUAUAGUACCAAUUAAGGCUGAACUAGAUCCGCACAAAGAAGAAACGUGACCCUAUGGAUAUAUGCGGCAGUGGGAUCAAAGGUCAAAAGAUUCAGCUGCUUCGUAAUCGCUUCAAAGACACUGGACCCAAGUUAGCUUAAGGAAGGGAGCCCAAAACCAAAUCCAAAAAGCGCGGGAAAAUCAGCUCUAAAGAAGAUUAUGGUUCUCUUAUCAAGGGUAAAACUAGGGAAAUUUCUGCUUGUCUGGUGAAAAGGCUAAUGCUUCAGCUGAAAAACCUUCGGGUUCAGAGAAGUAGAAAGAAGAUCUUGAAGCAACAAUUUUCUUGCUUUGCAACCGCGUCAGAGUUCACUCCUAUAUUCCAGAAAUAGCUAAUAUUCUUAAGGGGGUUGCUUUGCUGCAAGUUUGUGAGAACAAAUGGGCCGCUGUGAGAUUAGAUUUCCCAAAUUGAGAAAGGCAACUAAUGAAGUAUUGCUUAAUUUAUACCGUGUAACUUAUAUUUUUUUUAUGGAAAUCAGUUAGAUUCUUGAAUAAAUUUUCUCUAUGGAACAUCUGAAAAAAAGACAUUGAGACUUGUUUGUAACUUAUAAUGAAGGACUA